CCUACGGGGGGCAGCAGUGAGGAAUCUUGGUCAAUGGGCGAAAGCCUGAACCAGCCACGUCGCGUGAGGGAAGACGGUCCUCUGGAUUGUAAACCUCUUUUGUCGGGAAGCAAAAAGGCCUCGUGAGGCCACAAGUGAUAGUACCCGAAGAAAAAGCAUCGGCUAACUCCGUGCCAGCAGCCGCGGUAAUACGGGGGAUGCGAGCGUUAGGCGGAUUUAUUGGUUUUAAAGGGUGCGUAGGCGGACUGGAAAGUCAGCGGUAAAAUCAAGGGGCGCAACCGCUGUCCGCCUUUGAAACUGUCGAUCUUGAGUGGGGGAGAAGUAAGCGGAAUGCGUGGUGUAGCGGUGAAAUGCAUAGAUAUAACGAAGAACUCCGAUUGCGAAGGCAGCAUACCGGCGCCCGACUGACGCUGAGGCACGAAAGCGUGGGUAGCGAACAGGAUUAGAUACCCGAGUAGUC
rnacentral:rRNA from 1 species